AUACGAAAGGUGCAAGCGUUGUUCGGAUUUACUGGGCGUAAAGAGAGUGUAGGUGGUUUAUGAAGUCGGAUGUGAAAUCCCGGGGCUCAACCUCGGAACUGCAUUCGAUACUGAUAGGCUAGAGUUUGGGAGGGGUAAGCGGAAUUCCGUGUGUAGCAGUGAAAUGCGUAGAUAUACGGAGGAACACCUGAGGCGAAGGCGGCUUACUGGACCAAUACUGACACUGAGACUCGAAAGCGUGGGUAGCAAACAGGAUUAGAAACCCUAGUAGUCC
rnacentral:rRNA from 1 species